rnacentral:rRNA from 1 species
UACGGAGGGUGCGAGCGUUUGUCCGGAAUCAUUGGGCGUAAAGAGCUUGUAGGCGGUUUGUCGCGUCUGCCGUGAAAGCCCAGGGCUUAACCCUGGGUCUGCGGUGGGUACGGGCAGACUAGAGUGUGGUAGGGGUGACUGGAAUUCCUGGUGUAGCGGUGGAAUGCGCAGAUAUCAGGAGGAACACCGAUGGCGAAGGCAGGUCACUGGGGCCGCAAACUGACGCUGGAGGAGCGAAAAGCAUGGGGAGCGAACAGG